GUAAAGCCCUGUCGGAGGGGAAGAAAUCCUGAGCUUUAAUAGAGUUCAGGUUUGACGGUACCCUCCAAGGAAGCCCCGGCUAACUCCGUGCCAGCAGCCGCGGUAAUACGGAGGGGGCAAGCGUUAUUCGGAAUCACUGGGCGUAAAGGGCGUCUAGGUGGUCGCUUAAGUUCAAGGUGAAAGCCCUCGGCUUAACCGAGGAAGUGCUUUGAAAACUAGGCGACUUGAGUUCGGGAGAGGGGAGCGGAAUUCCCAGUGUAGCGGUGAAAUGCGUAGAUAUUGGGAGGAACACCGGUGGCGUAGGCGGCUCCCUGGACCGAUACUGACACUGAAGCGCGAAAGCUAGGGGAGCAAACGGGAUUAGAUACCCCGGUAGUCCUAGCUGUAAACGAUGGGCACUUGGUGUAGGAGGUGUUGUUACCUUCUGUGCCGAAGCUAACGCAUUAAGUGCCCCGCCUGGGGAGUACGGUCGCAAGGCUGAAACUCAAAUGAAUUGACGG
rnacentral:rRNA from 1 species